GAUAGCUCAGUCGGUAGAGCGCCGGACUGUUAAUCCGUAGGUCCCUGGUUCGAGCCC
rnacentral:tRNA from 2 species